GCCGUAGCUCAGAGGUAGAGCAUCUGCCUUGCUUGUGAGAAGUCCCAGGUUCAAAUCCCGGCAUCUCCA